rnacentral:sRNA from 1 species
AUAGAUGGGUUCCAGCACACCAGAAUCUCGGGUGAGAUUACAAAUGGCUCAGCCAAUACCAUCUCAGAGAAGAGUUCCAGUCACAAAUGCAUAUAUGAUGCAUUUUGACAUUUACUGCUAAGAUGAAAUGCAGAAAUGAAACCACACAUCCAUUUUAGUAUUCUCAGAUGUGAUUAGAUGUACUUGCUCAUGUUUUUAUGCUACUGACUUAUAAGAAAAAAAAUAUUUUAAAAGGGUAACCAUUAAACAGCUAGGACCUGCAACUUCAGUGCUUCUGGGAUAACUGGAACAUCAGAAGGACAGAUUUUAUUACAGCGUAAUCACACCUCAUUUCUUUCAUCAGCAGUUGUCACCAGACGCUGUUACUUCCU